GACCACAGGCAGGAAUGAUUUCCUGUGGCGCUCUGUGGUGCAUCUGGGUGAGAGGAGUCUUCUGCUGAAGGUGCUCCUCUGCUGGGCCAGUGUGUCAUAGAGAGGGUGUGCAACAUUGUCCAAGAUGGACUGAAGCCUGGACAGCAUCCUCCUCUCUGCCACGGUCGUCAGAGUGUCCAGCUCCUCCCCCACGACAUCACCGGCCCUCCUGAUCAGUUGUUAAGUCUGUUGGUGUCCUGCGACCUUGUGCC